GAUGAACGCUAGCUACAGGCUUAACACAUGCAAGUCGAGGGGCAGCACUAGGUAGCAAUACUGAGGUGGCGACCGGCGCACGGGUGCGUAACGCGUAUCCAACCUUCCCGAUACUCUUGGAUAGCCUUCCGAAAGGGGAGAUUAAUACAAGAUGGUGUUUGAAUUCCGCAUGUUAUUCAAACUAAAGAUUUAUCGGUAACGGAUGGGGAUGCGUGACAUUAGGUAGAUGGCGGGGUAACGGCCACCAUGCCUACGAUGUCUAGGGGUUCUGAGAGGAAGGUCCCCCACACUGGAACUGAGACACGGUCCAGACUCCUACGGGAGGCAGCAGUGAGGAAUAUUGGUCAAUGGUCGGAAGACUGAACCAGCCAAGUAGCGUGAAGGAUGAAGGUUCUAUGGAUUG
rnacentral:rRNA from 1 species